rnacentral:rRNA from 1 species
AUACGUAGGGAGCGAGCGUUGCCCGGAAUGAUUGGGCGUAAAGGGCGCGUAGGCGGCCCGGUAAGUCUGGAGUGAAAGUCCUGCUUUUAAGGUGGGAAUUGCUUUGGAUACUGUCGGGCUUGAGUGCAGGAGAGGUAAGUGGAAUUCCCAGUGUAGCGGUGAAAUGCGUAGAGAUUGGGAGGAACACCAGUGGCGAAGGCGACUUACUGGACUGUAACUGACGCUGAGGCGCGAAAGUGUGGGGAGCAAACAGGAUUAGAUACCCUGGUAGUCCACACUGUAAACGAUGAAUGCUAGGUGUAGGGGGUAUCGACCCCUUCUGUGCCGCAGUUAACACAAUAAGCAUUCCGCCUGGGGAGUACGGCCGCAAGGUUGAAACUCAAAUGAAUUGACGGGG